rfam:Helcococcus kunzii ATCC 51366 genomic scaffold supercont1.1, whole genome shotgun sequence.
AGUAAAUUAAAUAGGCUACCAAAGACUAUAGGUGGAUUUUCCUUAAUUUCCUAUAUAGGAGCAAUAAUUAGAUUAUUAACUCUCCUUAUGUCUUUUUACAUAUGGAGAUUUUUUUAAUAUAUU